UACGGAGGAUCCGAGCGUUAUCCGGAAUCAUUGGGUUUAAAGGGUCCGUAGGUGGAUGGUUAAGUCAGAGGUGAAAUCCUGCAGCUCAACUGUAGAAUUGCCUUUGAUACUGGCUAUCUUGAAUCGAUGUGAAGUGGUUAGAAUAUGUAGUGUAGCGGUGAAAUGCAUAGAUAUUACAUAGAAUACCGAUUGCGAAGGCAGAUCACUAACAUCGUAUUGACACUGAUGGACGAAAGCGUGGGGAGCGAACAGG
rnacentral:rRNA from 1 species